AAGCGAGCAGCAUGCACGAGCCUGGGAAGACCAGAAGCUCUUCUUGGUGUUCUGUUUACCCAAUUAUGAGAGUUCUGAUGAUAAACUUAAAUACAAGAUACAGAAAUCUUCAUAUGUAAUCUGUUAGAGAAAAAAUAAUCCAUACCUUGACAUGCUUUUAAGACUCAUAAAGAGACUAUUGAUGGCUCAGCAGUUAAAGUAUUCACUGUAGAUGAGCACAAAGACUGAACAGAGCUGUUCAUGGUCAUUACUGAAGGCUUCUGUGCUCAGUUAACUUCGGAUCGUCUCCCCUCAAACCUGAGCCAAUGGAUCGCUCCUCCCUUACCAGGCUUCUUGUCAGCACUGCCUUUCCUGAUGCGGCCCAAACAUCCCAAACAUCCCUGCAGCACCGCUCCUGUUACAGCCUCUUCUCAGAUAAGAGAAGAGUGAAUGAUGAAGCGCACUCGUCAGUGAGUCGUCAGUGUCCUUGAGGACAGGCCAAUGAGUGAGGAGCAUUCUGUCACCCAGGCCAACUGUGCAAGCGAUGUCAUCCAGGCCAACUGUGCAAGCGAUGUCUCCCAGGCUAACCAGCAAGUGAUGUCACCCAGACCAACUGUGCAAGAGAUGUCUCCCAGGCCAACUGUGCAAGCGAUGUCAUCCAGGCCAACUGUGCAAGCAAUGUCUCCCAGGCUAACCAGCAAGUGAUGUCACCCAGACCAACUGUGCAAGAGAUGUCUCCCAGGCCAACUGUGCAAGUGAUGUCACCCAGGCCAACUGUGCAAGCGAUGUCACCCAGGCCAACUGUGCAAGCGAUGUCAUCCAGGCCAACUGUGCAAGCGAUGUCACCCAGGCCAACUGUGCAAGUGAUGUCACCCAGGCCAAAUGUGCAAGCGAUGUCACCCAGGCCAACUGUGCAAGCGAUGUCACACAGGUCAACUGUGCAAGCGAUGUCACCCAGGCCAACUGUGCAAGUGAUGUCAGGGACAGGGAAGCUUCAAGGGAUGUGUCUCUUCUGAAGCAACAGUUUGAUUUCUGUCUUCUACUCUAUGAAGGCUUGACAAGGUUGCUCUACAAAAAUUACUGGAUUCUGAGCUGAUGGUUCAGGCCCAAGGAUGUCAGCAGAGACUUUUGCAAUGGGGCAGGACAGGUUUCACGUCAGGCUUUCAAGCUAAGGACAGGCAGCCACCUCCUAAAGAACUGCUUCGGUUGUUCAGUGAGGGUUACAUUGUGUUUGAGAACUCACCCCUCUUCUCUCUGUUGGGGGAGGAUCAUUGCUCACAGACAUCCCAUCCCCCAGCAGCUGCCAGCUCACCAUCCUCAUGGAGGACACAGGUGGGUGUGCACACACUGUAAGAGAAGCUUGCCAGCUAACACAAACUAAUUUUGACUCUGAAAUAAGCAGCAGGAUCCUUCCCUGAAUGGAGUUUAUGUCAGCAAUCAUCAAAUAUAUUUGGCACCCCUAGUUGCAUAUCAAUAAACACAUGGGGUGGUAGCCCUGAACACUGAUGGAGCACAUUACUUCAGCCAGUCAGAGCUGUGGUAUCUUCUAGCAGCAGUUCUGGCAGGAAACACCGCAUCUCUAGAAAACAACCCCAACUCCGAGCAGUGGCAAUGUGGCAGCUCCCCCACAGCUCAACGCAAGCUUUCCUUCCAUCAUUUCCUGUUUGUGUGCUCACCUUCCCAUGGGUCUUGGUCCUGAGAGCCCUUCCUGUUAAGGUUUGGAUGUGGGUUGAGUAUGUCCCAGAGCCUGUGUGGUAGAAGCCUGGUUCUCAACAUGACAGUGUUGGAAGGUGGAACCUGCCACACCAGCCAAAGCAGCCAUUUUUUUUUCUUGGUGAGUGACUUGGGAGGCUUGGUCACUCCACCAGGGACAACCUACACUAGACAACUAGGUCAUUUUGUCCAGUUCCCACUUCUGAUGCUACAAUUUCUGAUCCACACUGGAAGAUGCCUGGAAGAAUCUCUAACACCAUUGCCCCCUUUGCCUAAGUCCUAUAAGUGGGUGCUAUCCUUUUAACAGGAUUAGUUAAGUGCAGACUGCAGAGGGCUGGACAGGGAGGUCGCUAAAGAGAAGAAGCCCGCAAAGCUGAGCUCUAAAGUGAGACUUAUCAAGGGGCAACAGGCUGGAGUGCCCCCUGGUGGAAACAAGACAUGAAGAGCCAGAGGAUGGGAGGAGGUGGGGCAGGUAAGCAGAGGCGUGUGGAGAAAGCCCUGCCUGUGUCUAGAACUGAAACAUUGUAUGCAGAUGUCCGAGGACAAGCUCACCCUCCCUGGAAGCCAUGAUGGCAGCCAUAUACUUUGUGCUACUGGGGCAUGGUCAUUUCUUCCAUAAGGGAGAGUAAACUGGAGGAGUACAGCAAGGGUGAAGGAAACAAGGUUGAACAGAUUAUGAAUUGAUGGGUCAGAAAACACAGGGAUGAGAAUAAAUGCAGAGAAGGCACUGGGGGAGUAUUGAGAGGGGUUGAGGUCCUUAGCUGCAAGAGGCAAGAGAUGAAAUCCAGAUAUCAUUGCAGAAAACAAAGGGGCAGUUGCCAAAAGAAUGCGGGACCACUAGAUAUCAGUAGUCUCAGAGAUGUGUGAUGUCCCAGCCCACUCUAUGGCUAGAACUAUGGAUGCUGAUUGCACCUGCUGGUUACUGCCUGCUUCCCUCUGCUGGCACAUCGUGGAACUGCACCUUGGCACCAGGUUCUUUCCUCCAAACUGGCUGAGUCUGAUUAUCCAACCUAACACCGAGUCGAAGUUUGCAAGCACACUGCAUCUUCCAACUCAAGGACCCGAGGCCCAGGAAGGAGAGGGAAUCACUAUGUGUCUUAAAUCACGUUAGUGGAUUUGAGAGUCCUGUUCCACCCACAGCCAUAGGUGGCCUAGUGUGCCCGGGAAGCCUCUGAGAGCGCACCCUUGUGUUCAACUGCGGCAUUGCAGAAACUUGUCCCUGACUCUGCGUUGCAACUGUUCACCCUCCCAAACGGGACAAAUUCCAAAGACUCUGAGCUCAGAAAGAACAGGGAACUGUCUGCAACUGGACAUAAUCAUACUAAGCAAAUUGAUUCAGUAUCAGAAAGACAAAUGUGACAUGUUCUCUGUGGGUCCUAAAGGUUAUAUAGAUACAUAAAUUCAUAUAAACAGAUGACAUGGAAGGAGAAACAGAGCUAUCUAGGCCUGGGGGGACCAAAAGGUGGGAUGUGCUCAAAGUACACUCAUGCUUUCAUGAAGAUGGCAAUAAAAAUAAGUAAACACAAGCGGCAUUGACAGAUCAGUAGAGGGACCAGCUUCCCAGUAUCUCAGGCACACUUCCGAUCAUUGAUAUUUCCAGGUCCCAGGGUGCACGGGGAGAGAGAAGCAAGACAGGAGUACCUGAGAAAAGCCAAGCCACUCAGUUCUACACAUGUUAGUGACCAAAGAAGUCUCAACACAGCGUGAGACCUGAGCAUCCACCCCGACCUCGGGAGCUAUGGUCUGUUCUCGGCCAUGGGCUCAGCUAGCUUCAAGUGCCUGAAAUCUUCACACGCUGUGCCAAAGAUAGAACCAGACCCUAUUUCUGUGUCUCUCUUCCCAAGAUGUGCCAUCAUGUCAGGCUGACACCAAGUCAAGUGAGAAUAUGUUCUCUUCUGGACAGAGUCCCUAGAAUGGCAGGAGUUGGUGGAAGCCAGGAGGGAGGGGACAUGAGCUUCCUGUGUCUAAAUGCUGAUUUGGGGUUUUCAGGUUGUGCCUAUUGGGUUGUAAAAGUCCACAGAGCAAAGUUUUCUUUCUUUCAAUAUUGGGGGUUACACUUAAGGCCAGGCAAGUGCUCUACUACACACAAGCUAUUAAUGAUUUGAGGCAAGGGCUUACAUAUCUAUCCAGACUAGGUUUGAAGUCACUGCUGCCAGGCAGGCCUGGAACCUGGAACCUCUCUGCCUGUCCUCGCAACCCGCAAGUGAUUACUAUUACAAGUCUGUACCCAAGGCCCAGCUCUGUAAGUACAGCAUUGGCGCAAUGGAAUGACCAUUAGCUGUGUGCUGUGUGAAGGGCCAAGCAAUGGAGGCCACGAGUAUGGAGAUUGGCUGGAAGACGGAGUGAGGCAAGGGACACAUUUAUUGAAAGAAAGAAUAACUGAUGAGCAUCGUCAGGUCUCCAAGACAGCCGUGAAAUCCGGGAGAGAGGCAAUGACGACUCACUCACUAGGCUCUCUGCUCUUUCCUUCCUUCCUGCUAGGCUGGCGAGAGAGAUGGUCAUGUGACUGACUUCCAGCCAAUGAUAUAGGGCAACAUUUUGAAUGCCUGCUCCAUUGUGUAACCCCUUCCCUGUUCUCCCCUUAACUCAAGGACAAUGCUUACAGUGACAUUGGAAACUACAGGGCAAACACGAAACCUGUAAAAUCAGCUUGGGGUCGCUGCCAUACUGUUGGGGACCCGAGGACUGUGUGUCUCUUCCUAUGGGAGCCAAAGGAGCAGACGCCUGUGGUCCGAGACCGCCCGCCAUUGCCUUGAAAAGAAGGUGUAGGUUGUGUCUGACGCUCCCCUCUUCAGACAGCGUGGGACCUCAGAAGUCAAACUCAGGGCAGGGAACUUUUAUCUUCUCACACUUGAAAUCCCAGGUCUGGAAGCUUGUGAGGCCGGUGUCAUGAGGCUGGCAAUCCCUGUGCAGUGAUGUAGCCUCGGGCUUUUCUACCAACGCCCCAGUUCUUGAAAAAAAUGACCGAGUAUUACUUGUGAAUAAACGUCUAAGAAAGCGUGGA
rnacentral:lncRNA from 1 species